AGAGAGAGACAUGCGCGCAUAUCAAUAAGCGGAGGAAAAGAAACUAACAAGGAUUCCCUUAGUAACGGCGAGGUGAAGCGGGGAAGAGCUCAAAUUUGAAAUCUUCAAGGUUUUACCUUGACGAAUUGUAGUUUAAAGAAGUGUUUUCUGCUGAAGUUUUGGUAAAAGUUCUUUGGAAUAGGACAUCAUAGAGGGUGAGAAUCCCGUAUUUGACCAUUAUCUUCAGCUUUGUGAUACACUUUCAAAGAGUCGGAUUGUUUGGGAAUGCAGUCCAAAAUGGGUGGUAAAUUUCAUCUAAAGCUAAAUAUAUGGCGAGAGACCGAUAGCGAACAAGUACCGUGAGGGAAAGAUGAAAAGAACUUUGAAAAGAGAGUUAAACAGUACGUGAAAUUGUCAAAAGGGAAGCGUUUGACACCAGUGUUGUUUUCUCGAAAAUCAAUUAAAAAUGGCUCGAUUUUGUAUUGCUUGAGACCUUAAAAGCUCACUGUACAUUUUUCGUCGUCUUUUUUUAAUGCACCUUUUCGUUUAACAAGUCAACAUCAGUUUCUUUUGUUGUAAAAGGGUCAUUGGAAGGUGGCUUUCUUUUCGGAGAAAGUGUUUAUAGCCUUUGGCCUCUGCAAUCGGAGGAGACUGAGGUCUGCAGCGUAGACUCUUCGGGGUUAGAUACAUUUGUGCUAAGUUAUAGCUUUUUAUAGACAACUUGUUGACUAUAAUUAGUCUUGUAGCUUACUCGCUUAUGCUAUUUUACCUACGCUUAGGAUGUUGAAGAUGUAGCACAUCAU
rnacentral:rRNA from 1 species